AGGCGACUCCGGGAUACUGGCCUUCUAGGCAGGGUUGCAAAGAAAAAGACAUAUCUCAGACUGGCCAAUAAAAAGAAAAGAUUAAGAUGCGCAAAAGAACACAGACACUGGACAGAGGAACUCUGCCUAGAAGGCCAGCAUCCCGGAGUCGCCUCUUCACUGUUGAAAUUGAGACUGGUGUUUUGCAGGUACUAUUUAAUUAAGCUGCCAGUUGAGGACUUGUGAGGUGGCGCUUCUCAAUGCAGGAUGUGGAAGAGGGGAGGGAAGCACACUCUGUAAACAGGAAUAGGUGAUUCACCGGUCACUGAGCUAGCCCUCCAUUCCCAAACCUGAAGCCCCCUGUCCCCAGCAGGAAAGACCUGGAAAAAGUUUUGGCUUAAGUUACAAGCAAUCUAUCAAAUGUAUUUUAUAAAGCCCUUUUUACAUCAGCAGUUGUCAAAGUGCUUAUACAGAUACCCAGCCUAAAACCCCAAAGAGCAAGCAACGCAUACGUAGAAGCACAAUGUCUAGGAAAAACUCCCUAGAAAGGCAGAAACCUCUGAGGGUGGCCAGUCGUCUUCUGGCUGUGCUGGUGGAGAUUAUAGAAGUGUACAGCCAUUUAGGUCAGAUUAUUCUUCAAGACGUUUAAACGUUCAUAGAUGACCAGCAGUGUCAAAUAAUAGAGGGUGCAAUAGUUCAGCACCUCAGGAGUAAAUGCCAGUUGGCUCUUCAUAGCUGAGCAUUUAGAGGUUGAGACAGUAGGUCCGGUAGAGAGAGACAGGAUCAAACAGCAGGUCUUUGACAAGGUAGUACCUCCGGUGAGCCUUGAGCAGGUCGGGGUUCCAUAGCUGCAGACAGAAACAGCAGAGACUGGAUCAGCAGAAUGAUCAGGUGGACUGGAGACAGGGACAGCCAGGAGUCAUCAGGCCAGAUCUGCCAAUCUGCUCGGUGGAGUGUUCCAGGCCUGGAGUGGCAUGCUGGAACUUCCAGAGUCUUGUAGAGCUGAAGCAGUGUGAUGUGGUCCAGUUGUUGAUGUGUGCAAGGGUCCCUGGUUCGAGCCCAGGUUGGGGCGAAGAGAGGGACGGAACCUACACUGUUACACACACACCCACACACAGAUAUUAGACUCAAUGCAAAUAAAUUGUAAUAACUUGUAUAUUUUAUGUAUGCUCCAUUUUAUUUGAGGAAAAUAUAUGCAAUAAAGUACAUUCACAGUUAAA
rnacentral:lncRNA from 1 species